UCCACAGCCUUAGGUGAGCAGGUGACUUUACCCACACUAACAGCUACUACAAACAUCAUGUUGCUCUUAAGAGUUUCACAUACAAAACCUAAAAAUCCGUCCUAGAAAUGAAGUUAUCUGCACACAGGUGAACGAAACCCCAGCAGGGUCUGCCCAGCAGCCAGCCCAGAUAGGAGGAUGAUUUGGCCACAAGAGUUUUUGUUACUACUACUUUUUCUGUUGUCUCUUGAAAUAUCUAUAGCAGGAUGUUGAUAAAAUGGUAUUUUAAAAAUAAAAUCUUUGAAUCAAAGGAAAAACUUAACCCCUCCUAUAUUUUUGUUACUAAUAAAUAAUGCUUUUGUAAAUCCGAAUGGAAAACUACUUGUAUGUAUUCAUAUUGAGUGGUACUUAAUACCUUUGGGGUUAAUUUAAAAAUGUACUACUUGAUUAAAAUUUCCAAAAAGAUAAAUUCCAAUAACCAAAAAGAAUAAAGCAUUUCAAAGCUAGAAUCAAUUGU
rnacentral:lncRNA from 1 species